CCCUUAGAUGUCCUGGGCCGCACGCGCGCUACACUGACAUGUUCAACAAGCCUCCUAGUUCGACAGGAUUUGGGAAAUCUUUGAACGCAUGUCGUGAUAGGGAUAGAUCAUUGCAAUUAUUGAUCUUGAACGAGGAAUUCCUAGUAAACGCGAGUCAUCAGCUCGCAUUGAUUACGUCCCUGUCCUUUGUACACACCGCCCGUCGCACCUACCGAUUGAAUGUUUCGGUGAAGAUUCCGGAUAGGACUUUUUUGAUUUAUUUCAAUUUUGUCUUAAAAGCUAUCUAAACCUCAACAUUUAGAGGAAGGUGAAGUCGUAACA
rnacentral:rRNA from 1 species